rnacentral:rRNA from 1 species
AGUCACUGACAUUAGAUACCCCCGUAGUCCAGGGUGUAAACGCUGCAGACUUGGUGUUGGAGGCCCUUUGGGGGCAUUCAGUGCCGGAGAGAAGUUGUUAAGUCUGCUACUUGGGGAGUAUGUCCGCAAGGAUGAAACUUAAAGGAAUUGGCGGGGGAGCACCGCAACGGGAGGAGCGUGCGGUUUAAUUGGAUUCAGCACCGUAAAACUCACCAGGGAAGACUGUUACAUGAAGGCCGAGAUGAAGACUCUGCUAGAUUUUCAG